UACGUAGGGUGCAAGCGUUGUCCGGAAUUAUUGGGCGUAAAGAGCUCGUAGGCGGCUUGUUGCGUCGGCUGUGAAAUCCCGUGGCUUAACUGCGGGCUUGCAGCCGAUACGGGCGGGCUAGAGUUCGGUAGGGGAGACUGGAAUUCCUGGUGUAGCGGUGAAAUGCGCAGAUAUCAGGAAGAACACCAACGGCGAAGGCAGCUCGCUGGGACGGUACUGACGCUGAGACGCGAAAGCGUGGGGAGCGAACAGG
rnacentral:rRNA from 1 species